UACAGGGGGGGCAAGCGUUGUUCGGAAUUACUGGGCGUAAAGGGCUCGUAGGCGGCCAACUAAGUCACACGUGAAAUCCCCAGGCUUAACCUGGGAACUGCGUGUGAUACUGGAUGGCUUGAAUCCGGGAGAGGGAUGCGGAAUUCCAGGUGUAGCGGUGAAAUGCGUAGAUAUCUGGAGGAACACCGGUGGCGAAGGCGGCAUCCUGGACCGGCAUUGACGCUGAGUGAGCGAAAGCCAGGGGAGCAAACGGG
rnacentral:rRNA from 1 species